rnacentral:rRNA from 1 species
GACGAACGCUGGCGGCGUGCUUAACACAUGCAAGUCGAACGGAAAGGCCCUGCUUUUGUGGGGUGCUCGAGUGGCGAACGGGUGAGUAACACGUGAGUAACCUGCCCUUGACUUUGGGAUAACUUCAGGAAACUGGGGCUAAUACCGGAUAGGAGCUCCUGCUGCAUGGUGGGGGUUGGAAAGUUUCGGCGGUUGGGGAUGGACUCGCGGCUUAUCAGCUUGUUGGUGGGGUAGUGGCUUACCAAGGCUUUGACGGGUAGCCGGCCUGAGAGGGUGACCGGUCACAUUGGGACUGAGAUACGGCCCAGACUCCUACGGGAGGCAGCAGUGGGGAAUAUUGCACAAUGGGCGGAAGCCUGAUGCAGCAAGGCCGCGUGCGGGAUGACGGCCUUCGGGUUGUAAACCGCUUUCGCCUGUGACGAAGCGUGAGUGACGGUAAUGGGUAAAGAAGCACCGGCUAACUACGUG